UACGGAGGGUGCGAGCGUUGUCCGGAAUCACUGGGCGUAAAGGGCGCGUAGGCGGCCUGAUAAGUAGGGGGUGAAAUCCUGCGGCUUAACCGCAGGGCUGCCUUCUAAACUGUCGGGCUCGAGCACAGUAGAGGCAGGUUGAAUUCCCGGUGUAGCGGUGGAAUGCGUAGAGAUCGGGAAGAACAUCAGUGGCGAAGGCGGCCUGCUGGGCUGUUGCUGACGCUGAGGCGCGACAGCGUGGGGAGCAAACAGG
rnacentral:rRNA from 1 species